rnacentral:rRNA from 1 species
AAUUGGAGGGCAAGUCUGGUGCCAGCAGCCGCGGUAAUUCCAGCUCCAAUAGCGUAUAUUAAAGUUGUUGCAGUUAAAAAGCUCGUAGUUGAAUUUCGGGGUUAGUAGGUUGGUCAUGCCUCUGGUAUGUACUGGUCUCACUGAUUCCUCCUUCCUUAUGAACCGUAAUGCCAUUAAUUUGGUGUUGCGGGGAAUUUGGACUGUUACUUUGAAAAAAUUAGAGUGUUUAAAGCAAGCUAACGCUUGAAUACAUUAGCAUGGAAUAAUGAAAUAGGACGUUCGAUCUUAUUUUGUUGGUUUCUAGGAUUGACGUAAUGAUUAAUAGGGAUAGUUGGGGGCAUUAGUAUUCAAUUGUCAGAGGUGAAAUUCUUGGAUUUAUUGAAGACUAACUACUGCGAAAGCAUUUGCCAAGGAUGUUUUCAUUAAUCAAGAACGAAAGUUAGGGGAUCGAAGACGAUCAGAUACCGUCGUAGUCUUAACCAUAAACUAUGCCGACUAGGGAUCGGAUGAUGUUAUUUUUAAUGACUCAUUCGGCGCCUUACGGGAAACCAAAGUGU